rnacentral:rRNA from 1 species
GACGAACGCUGGCGGCGUGCUUAACACAUGCAAGUCGAGCGGUAAGGCCCUUUCGGGGGUACACGAGCGGCGAACGGGUGAGUAACACGUGGGCGACCUACCCUCAGCUUCGGGAUAAGCCUGGGAAACUGGGUCUAAUACUGGAUAUGACUCCACGGUGCAUGUCGUGGGGUGGAAAGCCUUGUGCGGCUGAGGAUGGGCCCGCGGCCUAUCAGCUUGUUGGUGGGGUGAUGGCCACCAAGGCGACGACGGGUAGCCGGCCUGAGAGGGCGACCGGCCACACUGGGACUGAGACACGGCCCAGACUCCUACGGGAGGCAGCAGUGGGGAAUCUUGCGCAAUGGGCGAAAGCCUGACGCAGCGACGCCGCGUGAGGGAUGACGGCCU